AACGAACGCUGGCGGCAUGCCUAACACAUGCAAGUCGAACGAGACCUUCGGGUCUAGUGGCCCACGGGUGCGUACCGCGUGGUAACCUUCCCUUAGGUUCCUAAUAACUCCCCGAAAAGGGUUCUAAUACCGGAUAAUGUCCUCGGACCCAAGAUUUAUCGCCUUUGGAUGGGCCCGCGUUGGAUUAGCUAGCUGGUAGGGUAAAAGCCUACCAAGGCGACGAGCCAUAGCUGGUCUGAGAGGAUGAUCAGCCACACUGGGACUGAGACACGGCCCAGACCCGUACGGGAGGCAGCAGUGGGGAAUAUUGGACGAUGGGCGAAAGCCUGAUCCAGCAAUGCCGCGUGAGUGAUGAAGGCCUUAGGGUUGUAAAGCUCUUUUGCCCGGGAUGAUAAUGACAGUACCGGGAGAAUAAGCUCCGGCUAACUACGUG
rnacentral:rRNA from 1 species